AGCGAACGCUGGCGGCAGGCCUAACACAUGCAAGUCGAACGGAUCCUUCGGGAUUAGUGGCGGACGGGUGAGUAACACGUGGGAACGUGCCCUUUGGUUCGGAACAACUCAGGGAAACUUGUGCUAAUACCGGAUGUGCCCUUCGGGGGAAAGAUUUAUCGCCAUUGGAGCGGCCCGCGUCUGAUUAGCUAGUUGGUGAGGUAAAGGCUAACCAAGGCGACGAUCAGUAGCUGGUCUGAGAGGAUGAUCAGCCACAUUGGGACUGAGACACGGCCAAAACGCCUACGGGAGGCAGCAGGGGGGAAUCUUGCGCAAUGGGCGAAAGCCUGACGAAGCCAUGCCGCGUGAAUGAUGAAGGUCUUAGGAUUGUAAAAUUCUUUCACCGGGGACGAUAAUGACGGUACCCGGAGAAGAAGCCCCGGCUAACUUCGUGCCAGCCGCCGCAGUAAUAC
rnacentral:rRNA from 1 species